AAAACUACGAGGCAUUAAUGACUAUAAUG
rnacentral:sRNA from 1 species